rnacentral:rRNA from 1 species
CACGUAGGGUGCGAGCGUUGUCCGGAAUUAUUGGGCGUAAAGAGCUCGUAGGCGGUCUGUCGCGUCGGUCGUGAAAACCUGCAGCUUAACUGUGGGCUUGCGGUCGAUACGGGCAUGACUGGAGUUCGGCAGGGGAGACUGGAAUUCCUGGUGUAGCGGUGAAAUGCGCAGAUAUCAGGAGGAACACCGGUGGCGAAGGCGGGUCUCUGGGACGGUACUGACGCUGAGACGCGAAAGCGUGGGGAGCGAACAGG